CUGAAACUGUUGAAGAAAAUGUUUCUUAAAUUAGUUUUGUUCUGUUUGUGUUUGUGGCGUCUGGAUGGUGUGUUUGGUGAUGAUGAAGAGAAGAAUGUGAUUGUGAAUAAAGGAGAUUCAGUCACUCUAAACUCUGAUCUUACUGAAAUGAAGGAUGAUGAAGUGAUUCAUUGGAGGUUUGAAAACACUUUAAUAGCUGAAAUCAAUGUAACGGCCAACAACUUCACUGUAUAUGAUGAUGAUCUUGAUGGGAGAUUCAGAGACAGACUGAAGCUGGACAAUCAAACUGGAUCUCUGACCAUCACAAACACCAGAACUGAACAUGCUGGAGUUUAUGAACUACUGAUGUAUUCAUCAGAAUUCUCAUCUAAAGCAUUCAGAGUUUCUGUCUAUGGUGAGUAGACAUAUGUUUUUCUCAAUAUAGGAGGAGCUUUUCAAUAUAUGAAAAGCUGCAAUUCCUUAUAUAUUAUUCAAUAUAUUGUAAUAUAUUAACACAAUAUGUUAUUGUCACGAUCACUGUCUGUUCCUGUCAGUUCCUGGACUCCAUUUCCCAUAAUCCUCCCUGCCAAUCACAUGCACACUCCACACCAAUCACCUGUUGCCACAUACAGCUUAGCACACUACCUGGACUAUAAAAGACUCACACACACACCACCUGAUUGCGAAGUCUUGUUAACCAUUGUUGCAAUUCUGAGCGUUUAUAUCCUGUCUGCCUGUUUGUUACCGAUCCUGUCUGUUACCCGUUGUCGACCCGUUGCUGCCUACCUUUGAUCCUUGACUGGUAUCCUGUUCUGUGAGUGUUUUCUGCCUGCCCUGACUAUUGCCUGUAUCCUGACCACGAUUCUGCCUGUCUCUGCUGUUCCUGUUUGCCCCUGCUUUGACCCUGCCUGUACGACCACGCUCUUUUAUAAUAAAGCCAGCAAAUGGAUCCCCGCCUGAGUCUCGCUUCGUUACAGAAGACUUCGCCAACACAUGGAUCCAGCGGCUUUCCUGGAGAACACUGGCCCGGUAUGAACAUUGCACAAUUAUUAUUAUGGCUCAAGCAGGGCACCCGGUCGUUGGAGGAAUACAUCAGAGAAUAUUUGGAUGUUGCAUAUGGUUCAGAUCUGCCAGACUGUGUACUGAUAGACUUUUUCUGUGAGGGUGUUAACUAGCCACUUAAAACACAAUUGAUUCGUGAGGGACCUCGUUCCUCUCUUAGUCAUUUUUUGGAGUUUGCUUUAUUGACUGUGGGCUCUCCAUUUACUGUGGAUGUUGCGGAGAAAUACGACACCUCGCUGAAGCAUUUAAUGGCCGCCGCGCCAGAGAACACGCACAAAAUGGCGGCCACCACUACUACAACACCAAGUCAAGUCUCCGCUGAUCUUCGUGAGCCAAGUCAAGUCCAAGUUAAACUUCCUGAGUCACGUCCCAUCUCCGCUGAUCUUCUAGAAUUACAUCACGUCUCUGGAUCUGUUUGGGAGCGGAGUGUGUUGCGUUCCAGUGUGGCUGAUCCACCGCUGACUUCAGCACGAGCGGCUGGCAUUCCUAAGCCUCCACCGGCCACUACGCCCUCAAGGUCGCCGGUCGCUACGCCCUCAAGCUCGCCGGUCGCUACGCCCUCAAGCUCGCCGGUCGCUACGCCCUCAAGCUCGCCGGUCGCUACGCCCUCAAGUAACUUUCGUUACUUACUUGCGUAAGCUUGCGAUACAAGCCUCGAUUCCUAACUUCACUGAAAACUUCCGGGAUUUCUUGGCACGCUCCAAAGCCUCGGCACAGAACAUAACAUCACAUGUUGUUGCUGGAUCUCAAGCUGUAAAAUCACUCCAAUCACCAAUACUAAAGUUACACAUCAAGCAUAUGGUCAGAGAUUUAGACUCUGAAUGACAUCAGGCCCGUCGCCAAGGGGGGGCAUUAGGGGGCAGUGCCAUCAUCAUCAGAUUUUUAAUGUCUUUCUAUAUUCCUCUUCCUCAAAGAGUGAAAUCUGAAGCUCCAUCAGUGCUGUAUGGAGUCAGUUUGAACUGAGAACAAGAGACUGUAAAAAAAAACAUUUUAGUUAUGUUAACUGAAAUAAAAUGAAACAUGAAAAACUCUUUAUUUCAGCUAGUUGACAAGGGAACAUGUUUAUUUAUCUUGAUGUUUUGAAAUAAAAAUGAAUGAAAACUAUAAAGGGCCUAUAAAAAUCAAAAACUACUAACAAUAACAACAACAACAAAAAAUUACUAAAACUUUAACUAAAUUUAAAAUAAAAAUAAUAACUGGUUCAAAAUAUUAGAAAUGUAUAUUCAAAAUAUUAUUAUGAUACUGAAAUAACACUGGUUUGAGUCUCACAGGAUCUCAUGACAAGAUUUAAAUGAUAGUUUAAGACUCAACAAAGGAACAUUUUAACUUCUCAACUUCACGGGACACUUUUGAAAAUAACACCAUCGAACAUCAUCUAUGGGAAAUUGCAGCCUGGAGCUUGAAGUGACACUUCAGAGUGUGAAAUUAUCAGAAGAAAACAAGCAAACAAACAAACACUGAUGGUCACACUGUAAGGAACCCUGCAUCGGCCCAAAAGCGGAAUCCGACGGCCUGGGUGAAGGUUAACGCGUGUAUGUCUUUUCAGCGCCUCUGUGAAGUUUAUUUAAUUUCACUCGUUUAAUCUGACUCCAAUUUCAAAUGAUUCUCAUUCUUAGGUUGUGUUUCCAAAUAGAAAUGAAUCAUUGGUUAUGCAUUAAUUUAGAUUUUUGAUUAUUCUGAUUAUCUUAUAUCUUCAAUUAUUCGUUCACUGCAGUCCCGGUAUCGCUUCAGAAAAGUCACUUCGGCCGACUUGAGUGCUCUUCCCGGACACAAACUCGUCAGUUCUGACCUUAAACAUUGGAUGCAGGGUAAAUAUCUACCUUUAAGUCGGUCGCGCUCUGCUUACUCGUAACAAAAAGCAUAGUUUUUAUAUAUUUACGAAAACUGCAACUUAUUUAAGGCAGCGAUAGCCAGAAAUCGAAAUGGACUUAAUUGAUGUGCCCUAUGCUCCAUCUAUUAAACCUUCCGUAUGAUCAAUCCUGAACACAGAUUUGCGGUAAUACCUUCGCUUUAAUCUACUAGAAAUAAUGAAUUAAGAAUAAUACAGAAUAAACCAAAUAUAAUAUUUUAUUUGUCAAGUAAAAAUGUAUCAUGCCAAUUACAUUACAGUUAGACAAUUAGAAGCCAAUUCAGAAAUAAUAAAUGCAUAACGUCAAUUACCCAAAGAAAUGCAUAUACAUACAGUGAUGUGUGAAUGUCUUCAGACAUUCGCCCAUCUCUGCACGGGGGCUUCUGGCUACAGAUGAUCCCACAUGACUGCUUUGCACUUUACCUUAUAUACAGACCAGAACAAAAGGGAUGUAAAUAUUUAUUACACCAACACCUGUUUUGGGGGAGAGGAGUGGGUUUUUCAACACCCAAAAGGAGAACAGAAUUAUCCUUAGUUUUCAAUCUUCUUCAUAAUAC